rnacentral:misc_RNA from 1 species
AAAAAAUUGAAAAUAUCUGCGCCUCCUGCAAGGAUUAGGAAAGUUCGGAUCGGCUCUCUCUAACACAGUGACACUUGCUGUGAAUCCCAGCCAAUGCCUCGCAAAGAUUUUAUGGCCGUGGCUGAGGAAGAAGACCCGAACUUUCACCGCCUCCCUUUAGAUUUUUAUCAAACAGUUAGUCGGCGAAACCUUUUAAACCCCCAUAUAAACCCUUUCCACCUUACAUU